GUGGCCACUUUGCCACCACAUAUACUAAAAUUAGAACAAUAUAGAGAAGAUUAGUAUGGUCCCUGUGCAAGGAUGACAUGCAAACUUGUGAAGCAUUACACAUUUUU
ensembl:snRNA U6 U6 spliceosomal RNA